AGUUGUAAACUAACUGUUGCGUUCACUUGCCGCACUCGGAAGUAUUUUAUAGGGAAACGUGAGUAAAAACGUUAAGUGCUUUCCGUGAUAUGUGACACUUGAUCUUUUGUGCCUUUGUUAUUGUUUUUUUUUUUAUUUGAAUUUUGUUGAUAGUGGUUGAAAUCUGUUGGCAGCUUUGCGUUCAAAAUUUUUCAACACAAAAUUUGGUUUUUCUGUAUAGGAAAAAUAAGGUGUGUCUGAAACUUGAAGUCACUACUUUUGAAUCAGGCACCACAGUAUGAACCUAGUCGUGGAGGUCUUAUCUUAUUGUUCGUAGGAUCCGCGGCCCUUUGCCGCCCCGCGUAAAUGACUAUGGCAGAGAGUACAGUCGAUUCCUCCACCACUACUGACAAAGCUAAUAACAAUCAUCCAUUAGUUAUCAAUCACAAUCAUCGUAUCGUCGGUAAAUAUAAGAAAAGAAAGAGACUGAGUCAAGUAUUGGACAAACUCACAGCGGGAAGUACAUCUCCCCAUGAGAGUGAGCCGUCCCCCGAUAAUUCAGUAAACAACAACAAUGUUGCCGAAAUGUACAAUAACAAUAAAGGAGAUUUAACAAUCGAGAUAAUGCACGAGAAACAAUACAGACCCGAGGUAUUUAAAUUCGAUGUCACCGACAAAGACAAGUACAAAACUAUAAGCGAAGACGAAGAUGUUUUUAGUCCCGCGAGUUCAAGUAACAAGUCACCUCACAGUUCGACCGAUUCACCCCAGAUACGAUUUAGCCCGUUAAGGAUCAAGGAUGACGGAAGUCCAAGUCCUCCAUUAUUACAAAGACCGACAACUUGUCCUUGCUAUCAAUGCGUUACAGGAGUUGUUAUAGGACAUCAUCCGCCACCACUUCAUCCUUAUGACAGAUUUUUUCCGGCGUCACCUAUUUCACCAUUGACUCCAUCUUCUCCAGCGCCUACGUACAGCUUUGAACGUUACCUGCAUUCUAAGUACCUGCCAGAUAUAUUCCGUAAGAGAAGCCAUUCUGACUCAGACUUACCCAUGUGGUUUGAAACUGCAAAAGCUGAAAGAGCGAGAGCUCCUCCAUCCUGGCCACAUCCUCUGACACUUUCGACUGGUUGCGGCAAAGGAUCUGUUGAUUCGAAUGCUUGGUCUCCUCAAGAAUCUCCAUUGGAUCUGUCAAUGAAGUCAUCCAGAUGUCGAGAACGUUUGGAGUGCAUGAUUCCACCUCCAUUACAAUUGAUUUCUCCUGGAUUUCUGCCUCCCCGAGGACCUGUUUCUGUACCUGUUGUUAAAGGUGACGUGGCGUCGCCUACUACAAAAGAAUCGGUCGCUUCAAGAUACAAUCUCGAAGUGUCACCCGUUGUUGAAGAGAUGCCACCGGGCUCCGAUGUUGCUUAUGUUUGCCCAGUGUGCGGUCAGAUGUUCAGUUUACAUGAUCGUCUAGCUAAACAUAUGGCUUCCAGACACAAAAGUCGACAAAACAACGGGGAAACCGCGGCAAAAGCUUACUUAUGCGAAGUAUGUAAAAGGUCUUUCGCUCGUAGUGACAUGCUAACUAGACACAUGAGACUGCAUACGGGAGUGAAGCCUUACACUUGUCGCGUUUGUGGUCAAGUGUUUUCGAGAUCUGAUCAUUUAUCUACUCAUCAAAGAACUCAUACUGGCGAGAAACCGUACAAAUGUCCUCAAUGUCCUUAUGCUGCGUGUAGAAGAGACAUGAUUACGAGGCACAUGAGAACGCACACACGAUUUGAACCGGAUCCCAUUGCCACUCAAAUAAAGGCUGAGCAAAUUAAGGCUGAAAAUCAUUGAGAUCUGUUUUGAAAUGUUAAUAAAUGAGGUCCACGCCAAGAGUUAUAGUUAUUUAUUCUAAGGAGGCGAGAUAUUUUCAAAUAUUUUUAUUUAUUUGUAGAGAACAAAUCUCAUAUACGAGGGUAGUUCGGGAAGUUAUGUUGUGUCUGAAAUCGUAAUUCUGUAGGUAAGUAAGAUAUUAUUGAUUACCUAAAUCGUUAAUAUUUGAUAAACUUUUAUUAACGUGUCAGCAACGAUAAGUUUCCGAACGAUAAUGUUUUGAAUCACUAUUGAAUCCAAUUUUGAUUAAUACGUCAGAAGUUGACUUUUUUCUGUAUAAAGAAAUAGAAACAUCAGAUUCCAAUUACAUUUGACAGAUGAAUACACACAUCUAAUAUUGUUUUUUUUUCAAACAUCUGGUACGAUUUGAUUGCAUCAGUAUUUAUAUAUAGGGUGUACCAAUCUUGGGCAAACGAUAGAUGGUUUAUAAGAGAUAUAAAGGAAAUCAUCACCUAACCUAACCAAAACGAUAAUUAUCUCUUUCUUUGUAUUUGGUCAGAAAUCCUUCAAGCUAGUCACCACAUUAUUGGCAUUCAUAAACAUCGCUGAUAUGUCCACCAGGUAGUAGCUAUGUCCUCAGCUCGUUUUUACCAAAGAGAUUUGAAAAUCACAAAUAUUGUAAGAUGAUCAUGGUACACCAAAAUGAAUCUCUAUCCUAGUUAAGACUAGAAAUCAAUAAUAUAUAAAAAUCUAACGGUAAAAUAAAAUUUUAUCGAACAAAUUAAAAAAUUGCAUAUUCAGUUGACCUCCCAGCAGAAACUGCAAAGUACAACUGAUGAAAUCAGAGAUAAAGGCGUGCUUUAAAACUUAUGUACCUUGUCACGUGAUAUUCGAAAAGAAUCGAUUAUAUUUGUUCUAAUACGCCUGUUCCUCGUCUAAUAUUCUGUAGAAUAAAAUAUAGAUCAUUUCAUAGAUGCCCGGCUAGAUUUAGACAUUGCCUAAACCUUUUAUGAGAUGCUGGGGUUUAAACUUUACUCGUUACAGAUCUACGAGGGUUAUUCAAAUAUAAACUUGUUUUCUUUUGCUCUAAAAUAUUUUAUUAAUGAGUUACACAGUUGAAAUUUUUAACAGUUUCUCUAGAUACUCUCCGUCAAAUUAUAUACAUUUUUCCUACGUCUCCGGAAGAUUUCUGAUGCCUUUCGUCUUGUCACGUAAUUCGCGUAUAAAGAAUUCAACCUCUCCAUGAGUUUCUAACUCAAUUCGGUCAGGGUUUCCAUCGUAAACCGUAUGCGUUCUGCGGCAAUAUCGCACGACGGAUUGGAAUAUCGCGUCGUUUUGACCUGUAGGCAGGUUUUACCGUGUUUUACAGGUUACUAUAAUAGUACGCGUUCAUCAGUUCAUUGUUCAGUGAGAAAAUCAAACGGAAUUACUGCUCUUAUAUCCCAAUACCUUCCCAGCUGAAAGUAUAACUUUUUCUUUAACUGGCGAGUCUUUGUCGUUUGACCUCCAACCCAUAGACGAACGUUAAUUCUCCAGAAUAUGGUGGUAUACCCAAGUCUCGUCUGAAGUAAAUAUUCGAUGCAAUCAAUUUUCUCCUACCUCUUCAUACUAUUACAGGAGACGCAUGAUUUAAUGCCCAAAAUUUAGACAGUCUUGGCACCCAUCAGACUGAUAUUAUUUGCUCAAAACUACCAACGCUGAUGCCCACUUUUUCAAAUGAGUUCUGGAGCUCUGGAGCGACACGCAUGCGGCAAGUUUGUCACCACUUCUCGACGUUUUCGGAAAACGGAACACCGAUCGUUGAUUUGAGUUUUGAAGAGCCACUCACCCUCAAAUUUAUCCAAUAGUUUCGAGCCAAAAAACGAAUAAUGAUGCGUUGUGUUUACGAAAACUAAAUUUUUCGUAUUCAUUCAAAAAUUAUGGCUUAUAUUUGAACCUCCCUCGAACUGUACUGUGGUUUACAUGAUAAUGAAGACAGUGUCUUUAGUUCCAAUACAGAUGUUCCGAUAUCGUAAGCUAUUUAUUAAAUGAACUUUCUCAUUUGAAAUAAAAUAUAUAAUGAUAGGUAAAACAUACAGGAACUGUUCAUUUAGUGAUUAUUUUCGAAAACUACGAUAUUUAAUGUGGAUAUUUAUCUGUCAAUAUAGUUACUUUAAAUUCUGAUUUAAUACUGACGAUUAGAUCACGUUUACCGCCCACAUAUUUUCCUCAGAAUUGUAUAAUAAUUGACUUUAACAUGUUGAACUUUGCCUUAUGUCAAUUGAUAACAUAAAGGGAGAGGCUUUAAUGUUGUAACCUCACUCAUCGAAAUGUAUAUUGGAAAGGAAGACCCAGCUGAUUUAGUUUUUCUGUAAUCAAUUCGAAUAUUUUUUAAUUUUUAUCUUUAAUUCAUGAGUUUGAGAAAUCUGUCUUAUAGACAACUAUUUAUAAUGUUUUCUCUGUUUAUAUUAAUAUUUAUUGGUCGUUAUUGUUGAUUCGAAUUUUCAUACAACUUCUGGAUUAUAGCUAAGGUAUACAGGGUGUUCCGGGACUUGAUGUAAAAAAUUCAGAAGUGAGUUAUGGUCCUUUGAAGUUGCGAAAUCAGAACUUAUAUUUAAGUAUAAUUUCAAAAAUAUAUAUUCGAACAUUAUGAAAUUCUAAUAGAUGAUUACGUAUGUCCUUGUAGUGUAUUUGAAGGAAUAAAUAAUUUUACACUAUUAUCUGAACGCCAAGAGCGGCUCAUACCCAAUGGUUCACAAUCCGUAACUUUUACAGGGACAAUCUGUACAACUCGAUAAAAUUUAUGGUUUAGGAGAUAUGAAGAUUUUUAGAUCGUUGUACAUACCAAGAAAACCAUUCGCCAUAAAGAGACAUUCUGAAGAAAAUUAUCAUAAAUUGUAAUUAUUUAUGGAAAAUUCUUAUAGAAGGAAUUAAAACACGAUCAAACAUUCCUAAUUAAACUGUGUAUCAUCGAAUAUCGUGUUAUUUACAUUAGGAAAUAUUUAGUUGGUUAGUCUACAAAACAUUCUACGGAGGAUAUUUCUUUCCAAGACUCCGCCUUAUGGCGUCACAAUUGAAAUUUAUUUCAUUGAUCAUUUCGUUCCUUGUUUUUACCGGUGUUGCUUAUAAGAUAUCCCUAAAAAGUGAAUCCAUUGUACUCAAUUUACGAAAACGUCGUGGUAAUGCAAAUAGACCUCCCCUACCAAUGCACCUAUUAGGAAAAAUUAUAUCAAAAUUAUCUUUUACAUCACCGUGCAUGAAUCACAUGUCUCCGCGAAUGUUUGAGUUAUACCACAUAACAUGAGUGGGAAAUCAUUUUCGUAUCGCUGACCAUUCAGGUUAUUAUGGAUCUACUAAAUUAUUAUCAACAAAAUUAAUUAAUAAAAUGUACUUUUCCAAUAAAUUUAUUAGCAAUUCAUAAUCCUCUACUUGGUAUGCACUUUCUGGAUGUGAAAGUAGUGAAGAAGCUGCUCGUGAAGAAUCCUAUGAAUAGUUGUCGUUGAUACGUUAGAUUGUAAUGUCAUUUUACGUACACUAGUUGUAUGAUCAGUAUCUUCUGCAUCUUGCUCGAAAGCUGGUGUUCGUAUAGUUCGUUGUAGACCAUUUUUUGGUAGGAGGCUUCCUAAAUUCUUAUUCUAUAAAAAAUAAUGGAAACUAGUUUACGUAAUUUAUGUAGACAAACCUGUUUUUCGUAAGCUGUGAUCAACCCUAACAAAAGUUCCACUUGCGGGUGUAAUUCUGCCGGGAAAGCGUUCAGUAUACAACGAUUUAGUUUCUGACGAGUUCCCUAAACCAAAUCACACAUCAAAUGCAUGUGACAUAUACACUAAAGGUGAAUUCUACCAUAAUGAAGCUUUAAAUAUGAUGUGAUAAUUAUUGAUGACGAGUUUUGAAAGGUUUGCAGCAAACUGAUAUUAACAAAUUAAAUCGCUUGCAAUUUUUAAUUGAAUAUUAAGUAAUAACUUAUACAUAAUAGAUUAAAAAUUAUUAUUAAUCUCUUUUAAGUUUUUUCUUAUGCCAGUAAUAUGAUAUUCGAUAGUAUGUAGUACAAAUUUAUUUAUUCUCAAUUCUUCAAGAAAUGUUUGAUUUCGUUUCAAUUCCUCCUGUAAGUAUUUUUGAUAAAUAAUUACAAUUUUUAAUAAUUCAUAUCUAAUUCAAAACUACAUAUAUCCGAAACCAAACAAAGAGUACCUUUUUAUUAAAAAAUCGAUUAAACUAUUUAUUUUUGUUAUUUUUAUAUUGUACAGGUUGUCCUUGUAAAAGUUACGGAUUGCUAAUCAUUGAGCAUGAGCCGCCCCUGUUCUUCAGAUUAUAGUGUAGAAUUAUUUAUUUCGUUAAAUAAACUACAUGGAUAUUCGUUAUCAUUCAUUAGAAAUCAUGAUGUUAUAAUGUAUAAUUUAGAAAAUAUACUUAAAUAUAAGUUCUGAUUUCGCAGCUUUAUGUAACAGCACGUCAUCUACUCACUCCCGGAUUACCCUGUAAGUAUACAGUUGCUACGUAUUGAUAUUCUUAUACAAAAAAAUGUUAUUUUGCAACGAAAAUUAUUUUUAGCUUUUGAAUUCCACAUCACAUAACCGGUUUCAAUGGUAAAAACUCUCCCUGUACAUUUGAUAUUUUUGUCCAUAAAAUUAUUUAUUCUAUUAAUUGUUAUCUCAUUAGUUAUAACUAUGAUCGUGUAUUACUGAAAAUACUUAUUGGGACCAAAAAAAAGUUUUUCUACAUUGCUGUAAGUGAAUUUUUGGACAUUUUAAUUUAUUUCGAAUUUUUAUCUAGUCUUUAAAGCGUACUGGAAUUCCCUUUAGUAUUUUUAGUUUCUACUAAAUACGAGAAUUUUGUUCAACAAUGUUGAAAUGUUUCGACUUUCUCUUUGUUUAGUUUAAGAAAAUUUUGAAAAAUGUUGUUACGUAUGACAAAGCCAUCCUUUUUAUUAUGAGGCUGUGGUUUCUAUACAGUAAUUGUUGUCGGUUCGUUUUUUAAUUUAAAAUGUUUGUAUGUUUAUGCUAUAUUAGCAAAGUUGUGUAUUUUUAUUAAAUUUUCAAUAAAACAAUAAAUUUUUA